AAGGGGAGCACUGGAUCCUAGGCUGUGUCCCGUGCGCCUUGGGAUCCGGGGUCUGUGCUGCUGGAAUCAUGCUCUUGUGGCCGUGCAGCCCCCU
rnacentral:pre_miRNA from 1 species